ACAGGGAUUGCCCUAGUAACGGCGAGUGAAGCGGCAACAGCUCAAAUUUGAAAUCUGGCUCUUUUAGAGUCCGAGUUGUAAUUUGCAGAGGGCGCUUUGGCUUUGGCAGCGGUCCAAGUUCCUUGGAACAGGACGUCACAGAGGGUGAGAAUCCCGUACGUGGUCGCUGGCUAUUGCCGUGUAAAGCCCCUUCGACGAGUCGAGUUGUUUGGGAAUGCAGCUCUAAAUGGGAGGUACAUUUCUUCUAAAGCUAAAUAUUGGCCAGAGACCGAUAGCGCACAAGUAGAGUGAUCGAAAGAUGAAAAGCACUUUGGAAAGAGAGUCAAACAGCACGUGAAAUUGUUGAAAGGGAAGCGCUUGCAGCCAGACUUGCUUGCAGUUGCUCAUCCGGGCUUUUGCCCGGUGCACUCUUCUGUAGGCAGGCCAGCAUCAGUUUGGGCGGUAGGAUAAAGGUCUCUGUCACGUACCUCCUUUCGGGGAGGCCUUAUAGGGGAGACGACAUACUACCAGCCUAGACUGAGGUCCGCGCAUCUGCUAGGAUGCUGGCGUAAUGGCUGUAAGCGGCCCGUCUUGAAACACGGACCAAGGAGUCUAACAUCUAUGCGAGUGUUUGGGUGUCAAGCCCGAGCGCGUAAUGAAAGUGAACGGAGGUGGGAACCCGCAAGGGUGCACCAUCGACCGAUCCUGAUGUCUUCGGAAGGAUUUGAGUAAGAGCAUGGCUGUUGGGACCCGAAAGAUGGUGAACUAUGCUUGAAUAGGGUGAAGCCAGAGGAAACUCUGGUGGAGGCUCGCAGCGGUUCUGACGUGCAAAUCGAUCGUCAAAUUUGGGCAUAGGGGCGAAAGACUAAU
rnacentral:rRNA from 1 species